AUUAGGAAGAGGGUUUGAAAGAUGAGUUUAAAUUAAUUUGGUUGAUGUUGGCUUUAUACGUUAUAUUUUGUCACAGAGCCGUUAUCCAAAGCAACCAUUUUUAUGUAUAAAAUAGUAGGGGAAAGUGGGGUAAAUGCGAACGCGGGGUAAACCCGAACCCAAUAGUUUUAAUAUGUUAGAAAGAUAUAGCCGUAUAUCACUCGCCGGUAACUCAAAGAUCACGCCACCACCAGUGCCAGUCAACGACACGGGAGACGCGGGCGCACGUACUUUUCAAGAUGCCCCGUAAUUAUAAAAGAAAAACUGAAACUAAAUACAGUUUAGAGGAUCUCAAAAAGGCUAUAGUCGAUGUUCAAACCAAGAAACUCAGCAUUGGCAGAGCAGCAAAUACUUGUGUUCCAAAAACUACAAUUUACCUUAGUAAUGUUAGUACGUGAUUACCCCACUUGGUGUUCGGCUUUACCCGACAUCAGUUGGGUAAAACCGAACACUAAGGGUUUUGUUUUUCGGUCAUUUUGUUAUAUUUUAUUAAAAAAAAUAAUGAUGUUGAUUAGUAAUACGUUAGCUAGAUAAGUAAAGUUUAUAAUUUAAUAAUUAAAGAAACUCUGUGAUUUGA